GCCAGUGUUGCUCAGUGGUUGGAGUGUCAGCCUAUGAACUGAAGAGUUGUUGGUUCAAUUCCCGAUCAAGGGCA
rnacentral:tRNA from 1 species